ensembl:lncRNA
AGUGCCGACAGGAUGAGAGGAGUAGGCUGGGAUCAGCUGCUCUGUGCAAACGAUGCGACAGAAAGCUGUAAAUCCCAGCUCGUGUUUUCCAGAAUGCCACUAGGGAAAUUUGGAAAAGAGGGUAGCCCUGAAAUGCUAGCUCCACCUUGCAGUCAUCCAACCAGAAGCACUGCCACAUUCGUCAGUCAGGACCGUCACCUGAGAACAAAAGCCACAGACCUGGCCACUGAAGGCACAUCAUACCAAACCCACUGGCAUGCACAAACAACAAGGAGAGAGCUGAAGAAUCAGGUCAGAGCACUGACAGUAUCUGCUCCACCCACUCAACAGCACAGUUGACUCAAGCCAGCUGCAGAGCCUUGAAAGUCAUCUCCAGCAAGAGUCAGACCCUCAUCCAUCUGGAGAUUAGAUGGAUUUGGAAAGAGAGCAGUCUUGAUCUCCAGGAAAUCCCAGCUCACAAUAACACAUACUAACUAGUCCCUCAGAAGACUUGAGCCUCAUUGUCUACUCUGCCUUGGAGGAGCCUGCACCGCACACCUUCACACAUCCUGUGGCCCUGUUCCUCUCUAUCAACCAGCACCGACCUCUCCAGCACCACCAAGAGAAUAUGACAUGACAAACACACCCACCUGGAGGUGCAAAGCACAUAACAGCAUAAACA